UACGUAGGGUGCAAGCGUUGUCCGGAAUUAUUGGGCGUAAAGGGCUCGUAGGCGGUCUGUUGCGUCGGGAGUGAAAACUUACAGCUUAACUGUGAGCGUGCUUUCGAUACGGGCAGACUUGAGGCAUUCAGGGGAGAACGGAAUUCCUGGUGUAGCGGUGAAAUGCGCAGAUAUCAGGAGGAACACCGGUGGCGAAGGCGGUUCUCUGGGAAUGUACUGACGCUGAGGAGCGAAAGUGUGGGGAGCGAACAGG
rnacentral:rRNA from 1 species